rnacentral:rRNA from 1 species
AAAAAGCCUCUAGCGAGCUUCGAGCGGCCCGUACCCCAAACCGACACAGGUGGUCAGGUAGAGAAUACCGAGGCGAUCGGGCGAACUGUGGUUAAGGAACUCGGCAAAUUACCCCCGUAACUUCGGGAGAAGGGGGGCCACAGACCGUGAAACCCCAUGCGGGUGGCAGCGGUAGGUGGCCGCAGAGACCAGGGGGAAGCGACUGUUUACUAAAAACACAGGUCCGUGCGAAGUCGUAAGACGAUGUAUACGGACUGACGCCUGCCCGGUGCUGGAACGUUAAGGGGACCGGUUAGUCCGCAAGGGCGAAGCUGAGAACUUAAGCGCCAGUAAACGGCGGUGGUAACUAUAACCAUCCUAAGGUAGCGAAAUUCCUUGUCGGGUAAGUUCCGACCUGCACGAAUGGCGUAACGACUUCCCUACUGUCUCAACCACAGGCCCGGCGAAAUUGCACUACGAGUAAAGAUGCUCGUUACGCGCGGAAGGACGGAAAGACCCCGGGACCUUCACUAUAGCUUGACAUUGGUACUCGAAUUGAAUUGUGUAGGAUAGGUGGGAGACUAUGAAGCUCGGACGCCAGUCCGGGUGGAGUCAACGUUGAAAUACCACUCUGUUGAAUUUGGGUAUCUAACUUCGGACCGUGAUCCGGUUCAGGGACAGUGUCUGGUGGGUAGUUUAACUGGGGCGGUUGCCUCCUAAAAUGUAACGGAGGCGCCCAAAGGUUCCCUCAGCCUGGUUGGCAAUCAGGUGUUGAGUGCAAGUGCACAAGGGAGCUUGACUGUGAGACUGACAGGUCGAGCAGGGACGAAAGUCGGGACUAGUGAUCCGGCACCGGCGAGUGGAAGCGGUGUCGCUCAACGGAUAAAAGGUACCCCGGGGAUAACAGGCUGAUCUUCCCCAAAAGUCCAUAUCGACGGGAUGGUUUGGCACCUCGAUGUCGGCUCGUCGCAUCCUGGGGCUGGAGUAGGUCCCAAGGGUUGGGCUGUUCGCCCAUUAAAGCGGCACGCGAGCUGGGUUUAGAACGUCGUGAGACAGUUCGGUCCCUAUCCUCCGCGCGCGCAGGAGACUUGAGAAGAGCUGUCCCUAGUACGAGAGGACCGGGACGGACGAACCUCUGGUGUGCCAGUUGUCAUGCCAAUGGCACGGCUGGUUAGCUACGUUCGGAAGGGAUAACCGCUGAAAGCAUCUAAGCGGGAAGCCUGCUUCAAGAUGAGGUCUCCCACCCCCUCGAGGGUUAAGGCCCCCAGCAAGACCACUGGGUUGAUAGGCCAGAAGUGUAAGCCUGGUAACAGGUUCAGCCGACUGGUACUAAUAGGCCGAGGACUUCU